rnacentral:rRNA from 1 species
ACGUAGGGGGCAAGCGUUGUCCGGAAUAAUUGGGCGUAAAGCGUGAGUAGGCGGCCAUCCAAGUCUGGUGUGAAAGCUCGGGGCUCAACCCCGAGUCUGCACUGGAAACUGGAUGUCUUGAGUCCGGAAGAGGAGACUGGAAUUCCUGGUGUAGCGGUGAAAUGCGCAGAUAUCAGGAAGAACACCGGUGGCGAAGGCGGGUCACUGGUUCGGAACUGACGCUGAGACGCGAAAGCGUGGGGAGCAAACAG